GAUGAACGCUAGCUACAGGCUUAACACAUGCAAGUCGAGGGGCAGCGCAGUGUAGCAAUACAUGGGCGGCGACCGGCGCACGGGUGCGUAACGCGUAUCCAACCUUCCCGUUACUCUUGGAUAGCCUUCCGAAAGGGAGAUUAAUACAAGAUGGUAUUCAAAUUCCGCAUGUUAUUUGAAUUAAAGAUUUAUCGGUAACGGAUGGGGAUGCGUGACAUUAGAUAGUAGGCGGGGUAACGGCCCACCUAGUCUACGAUGUCUAGGGGUUCUGAGAGGAAGGUCCCCCACACUGGAACUGAGACACGGUCCAGACUCCUACGGGAGGCAGCAGUGAGGAAUAUUGGGUCAAUGGGUCGGAAGACUGAACCAGCCAAGUAGCGUGAAGGAUGAAGGUUCUAUGGAUUGUAAACUUCUUUAUACGGGAUAAAACCUCCCACGUGUGGGAGCUUGUAUGUACCGUAUGAAUAAGCAUCGGCUAACUCCGUG
rnacentral:rRNA from 1 species